GAUGAACGCUGGCGGCGUGCCUAAUACAUGCAAGUCGAGCGAACAGACGAGGAGCUUGCUCCUCUGACGUUAGCGGCGGACGGGUGAGUAACACGUGGAUAACCUACCUAUAAGACUGGGAUAACUUCGGGAAACCGGAGCUAAUACCGGAUAAUAUAUUGAACCGCAUGGUUCAAUAGUGAAAGACGGUUUUGCUGUCACUUAUAGAUGGAUCCUCGCCGCAUUAGCUAGUUGGUAAGGUAACGGCUUACCAAGGCGACGAUGCGUAGCCGACCUGAGAGGGUGAUCGGCCACACUGGAACGGAGACACGGUCCAGACUCCUACGGGAGGCAGCAGUAGGGAAUCUUCCGCAAUGGGCGAAAGCCUGACGGAGCAACGCCGCGUGAGUGAUGAAGGUCUUCGGAUCGUAAAACUCUGUUAUUAGGGAAGAACAAAUGUGUAAGUAACUAUGCACGUCUUGACGGUACCGAAUCAGAAAGCCACGGCUAACUACGUG
rnacentral:rRNA from 1 species